AACGAACGCUGGCGGCAGGCCUAACACAUGCAAGUCGAGCGAGGACUUCGGUUCUAGCGGCGGACGGGUGAGUAACGCGUGGGAAUGUGCCCUUCUCUACGGAAUAGCCCUGGGAAACUGGGAGUAAUACCGUAUACGCCCUAUUGGGGAAAGAUUUAUCGGAGAAGGAUCAGCCCGCGUUGGAUUAGGUAGUUGGUGGGGUAAUGGCCUACCACGCCGACGAUCCAUAGCUGGUUUGAGAGGAUGAUCAGCCACACUGGGACUGAGACACGGCCCAGACUCCUACGGGAGGCAGCAGUGGGGAAUCUUAGACAAUGGGGGCAACCCUGAUCUAGCCAUGCCGCGUGAGUGAUGAAGGCCUUAGGGUUGUAAAGCUCUUUCAGCUGGGAAGAUAAUGACGGUACCAGCAGAAGAAGCCCCGGCUAACUCCGUG
rnacentral:rRNA from 1 species